UACGUAGGGGGCAAGCGUUGUCCGGAUUUAUUGGGCGUAAAGCGCUCGCAGGUGGUUCGUCGCGUCGUGCGUGAAAGACCCCGGCUCAACUGGGGGAGGUCGUGCGAUACGGGCGAACUGGAGGCCAGUAGGGGGAUGCGGAAUUCCGGGUGUAGUGGUGGAAUGCGUAGAGAUCCGGAGGAACACCAGCGGCGAAGGCGGCAUCCUGGACUGGUCCUGACACUCAUGAGCGAAAGCGUGGGGAGCGAUCAGG
rnacentral:rRNA from 1 species